ensembl:snoRNA
AUCCUUUUGUAGUUCAUAAGCAUGAUGAUUGGGUGUUCACGCUCUUGUGUGACAUGUGCCACCCUCAAGCCAUGUUACGACCUUGGCACAUUACCCAUCUGAUG